rnacentral:rRNA from 1 species
GACGAACGCUGGCGGCGUGCCUAAUACAUGCAAGUCGAACGGAAAGGCCCUGCUCUUGCGGGUUGCACGUGAGGCGAACGGGGGAGUAACACGUGAGUAACCUGUACCUAACUGAGGGAUAAAUCUAGGAAACUGGGGCGAAAACAGGGUAGAAGAUCUUGCUGCAUGGGGGGGGAUGGAAAGUGUCGGCGGUUGGGGAUGGUUUCGCGGCUUAUCAGCUUGUUGGGGGGGUAGUGGAGGACCACGGCUUCGACGGGUAGCCGGCCUGAGAGCGUGGCCGGCCACAUUGGGCCUGCGAUACGGCCCAGACUCCUACGGGCGGCAGCAGUGGGGAAUAUUGCGGAGUGGGCGGAAGCCAGAUGCGGCAACGCCGCGUGCGGGAUGACGGCCUUCGGGUUAUAAACCACUUUCGCCUGUGACGAAGCGUGAGUGACGGUAAUGGGUAAAGAAGCACCGGCUAACUACGUG